rnacentral:rRNA from 1 species
UGGCUCAGGAUGAACGCUAGCGACAGGCUUAACACAUGCAAGUCGAGGGGCAGCACAGGUAGCAAUACUGGGUGGCGACCGGCGCACGGGUGCGUAACGCGAAUGCAACCUACCUAUAAUAGGGGGAUAGCCUUCUGAAAGGGAGAUUAAGACCGCAUAAUACAACUGAAUCGCAUGGAUUAGUUGUAAAAUAUUUAUAGAUUAUAGAUGGGCAUGCGUCUGAUUAGAUAGUUGGAGAGGUAACGGCUCACCAAGUCAACGAUCAGUAGGGGUUCUGAGAGGAAGGUCCCCCACACCGGAACUGAGACACGGUCCGGACUCCUACGGGAGGCAGCAGUGAGGAAUAUUGGUCAAUGGGCGAGAGCCUGAACCAGCCAAGUCGCGUGAAGGAAGAAGGUCUUAUGGAUUGUAAACUUCUUUUAUAGGGGAAUAAAGAUGAGUACGUGUACUCAGUUGUAGGUACCCUAAGAAUAAGGAUCGGCUAACUCCGUGCCAGCAGCCGCGGUAAUACGGAGGAUCCGAGCGUUAUCCGGAUUUAUUGGGUUUAAAGGGUGCGUAGGCGGGUUGAUAAGUCAGUGGUGAAAGGUUUGCGCUCAACGUAGACAUUGCCAUUGAAACUGUCAGUCUUGAGUACAAAUGAGGUAGGCGGAAUGUGUUGUGUAGCGGUGAAAUGCAUAGAUAUGACACAGAACACCAAUUGCGAAGGCAGCUU